GACAGAGGUCCCGAGCGUUAGGCGGAAUCACUGGGCUUAAAGCGUGUGUAGGCGGAUCGUUAAGUACCUUGUGAAAUCCCACGGCUUAACCGUGGAACUGCUUGGUAUACUGGCGAUCUUGAGCCACCUAGGGGCUACCGGAACAAAUGGUGGAGCGGUGAAAUGCGUAGAUAUCAUUUGGAACGCCAAUGGUGAAAACAGGUAGCUGGGAGUGUGCUGACGCUGAGACACGAAAGCCAGGGGAGCAAACGGG
rnacentral:rRNA from 1 species